rnacentral:rRNA from 1 species
GACGAACGCUGGCGGCGUGCUUAACACAUGCAAGUCGAACGCUGAAGCUCAGCUUUUGUUGGGUGGAUGAGUGGCGAACGGGUGAGUAACACGUGAGUAACCUGCCCCCUUCUUUGGGAUAACGCCCGGAAACGGGUGCUAAUACUGGAUAUUCACUGGUCUUCGCAUGGGGGUUGGUGGAAAGGGUUUUUCUGGUGGGGGAUGGGCUCGCGGCCUAUCAGCUUGUUGGUGGGGUGAUGGCCUACCAAGGCUUUGACGGGUAGCCGGCCUGAGAGGGUGACCGGUCACAUUGGGACUGAGAUACGGCCCAGACUCCUACGGGAGGCAGCAGUGGGGAAUAUUGCACAAUGGGCACAAGCCUGAUGCAGCGACGCCGCGUGAGGGAUGGAGGCCUUCGGGUUGUGAACCUCUUUCGCUCAUGGUCAAGCCGCAACAAUGGUUGUGGUGAGGGUAGUGGGUAAAGAAGCGCCGGCUAACUACGUG